UACGGGGGGAGCAAGCGUUGUUCGGAAUCACUGGGCGUAAAGGGUGCGCAGGCGGGAGAUUAAGUCGGAUGUGAAAUCCCCAAGCUUAACUUGGGGCCUGCAUUUGAAACUGAUCUUCUUGAGUAUCGGAGAGGAAAGCGGAACUCCAGGUGUAGCGGUGAAAUGCGUAGAUAUCUGGAGGAACACCUGUGGCGAAGGCGGCUUUCUGGCCGAAUACUGACGCUCAUGCACGAAGGCUAGGGGAGCAAAC
rnacentral:rRNA from 1 species